GAGCACUUUGAACUUCAUCGGCGCUGCUCCUGCGUUCAUCAAAUUGCGCCGUGAGUGAAUGCCUCCAUAGGAAGUCGACUCGUGCUCCACGUUUGUAUGUGUACACGUCAAAUAAAUUUUUUAUUUGCUCAAA